rnacentral:lncRNA from 1 species
AACCCCAAGCGCGUGGCUAAGUGCGAGCAGGCGCGUGUGACGUCGGGAGGCGCCGCGGCUCCUCGGCCGCCCCACUCGGUGGUCCCCUGUCUGGAUCCAAACUGCUGACUGGCUGACCCGAGUGGUCACAUUUGCCCUCUGGGGCUUUUGAAAACCUUAAAUCAAAAUUGCUUUUGAAUCUGACAACUCCUGAGGCUACUUUCGCGGCCUCGGGGCUGUUUCAUAUAAGGACGCGAGUUUUCCUGAUCAGGUCUGUCGGCCACGUUACGAUUUCCAAUUUGCGAUCCAUCAGUUACUUCCAUUGGGUCUUCAGCCCCCAGGGACUGUGGAUCCUAGACCCCGCGGAGAAGCCCGUGGACUGGAGCUGUGUCAGCUCUGAUGGUAGGAAAGACUAGAUCAAUGACGCGGGCAUUUCAGGACAUAAUCGUAUAUUUUCAAGUUCGAGUUUUUCGGGCUUGGAUUAUCCAGAUAAUUGCCUCCAGUCUCCUCCAGUCCCCCUGGUGUAUGCACUCGCAGCCGCAGAGUUAGAGUCCGGGAGGUGAAGAUUGGCGCUUGGAAAUUAGAUUUGGUUUCUAAAGUAUGAAUUCGUGUCCAACAGUUCGUGCCUUGGACAACGUGGGUUGUAUAAAACUCAAGCUGUGUGUUUAAAACAGGUUUUCUAGCUGCUGGUUCUCUCCAAGUUAUGUAGGACUUUUGAACUGGCCACCCCGCUGUGCGUCUGCGAGGGCAGGGACUGAGCGAGACCCAGCCAGGGGCGCCGGGAGACUGGCGGCGGCUGGGUUGGGGUCCAGCCGGAAACCACACGUUGGCAGGGCCGCUUGGUCAGUAGUGGAGAGAGCCUCUGAGAAAGGGCCGUCUAUCGAUCCCCAGACCCCUCCGUCACGGAGGGAUUCAUAGCUUCCUGGGGAUCGGCCCAGGGCGUCCCUUUGACACUCCGUUCUCUGUCCACACAAGCCCGGCGCGGGGCGGGGAGAAGAGGAAAGGACGCGACUGGGAAAGACGGGACCCUGGCGGGGUUUGGCCCGGGGGAGAGCGGGAAGGAGCCCGGUCGGCGCGGAGGACCUGCGGCCAGCGUGCUAAGCCCUUAUUAGAACAGAAACCCCUUUCCCCCCACACUCUCAUCUCUUUUGCGCGGUCCCCACCGCCAUGCCUUCAAUAACCUUGUGAAUAGAAACCCGAAUCGUUCCAUCUUGGCUUCUGAAACUUAACCCCAGGCAAAGCACACACUCGGCGGGGCCAGGUGGGGCUGGAUGGGGUCCGCGCCCGACGGCGGGGCCGCGGGGGUCGGUGAACCCCAGCUCCCCUGUCGGCCUCAGGGCGGAUGGCUGGGUCGGCGCGGGGUUCGGGGCCUCCGAUCGGCUGCACGAGGGCGGGCCAGGACCCAGACCCCGUCCCCGCUCCGGCCCCGCAAUCCAGCGGGUGACGAGCCUGACGCGCGCCGGUCGCCUGCCACCUCCCGCCCCGAGCGCCCUGGGCCAGUACCUCCCGGCCGCAGGUGAACGCUCCGCGGCCCGCCAGGCUCAAGCUCGACCGUCACAACUUUCCGUGAGGGCUGCACGUUUUUCUGAAUUCAAAUGCCUGCAGGUGCAACUCAUGUUUGCCACACGGGCAAUUAGCGGGCGCGUCCAAACGCCUGAGGCAAAACCUGAGAUCAUCACUGAAAAAAAAAAAUCUAACAGUUCUUUGCCACUAUACUAGUGUAUUUAAUUAUGAUUGCGAAAAAUUGCAGAGGGAAACGAUUUGCUGGCAAUUAAGUAGCAACUGGUUAAAGUUUUUUUUCAAUUUGUCUUUGAAGACAACUGCUGUACUAUGUAUAAAGAAGAGUAUAGCAGGGAAGUUCGAAAGCACACACGGAAUUUUAAAUCUGUUAAAAAUAUUUUUUAAGCAAAGAAGGUGGUAUUUUAAAAGCAUUUAAAACAGCGCCUGGUAUAUAGUAAGCGCCAUAGAAGUCUGUUAAGAAUGCAUAGGGCAAGAGAGCUCAGGGUUUUGAACGCUAUCAAAAUAAUAUGCUUAUUUAUCUGCAAAACACAAUAGCAAUUAGGCAGCACGAGAUUUCCCCAUUAGGUCGUUUAUUCUCCUCAGCUGUUUAUUCCAUUUGCCUGUCCCUUGGUUGAGCGCCUUGUCUGUCUAUAACCGAAAGUGCGUUUCGGGUCAGAGAGACAGAAACAGACACAGGAAACCCUUUAAAGCGCCCCCGCCGACUUAAAUACGGUAGUGGAUUGGAGGUGGGGAGGUGUAGGGGAGGCGUUAUGUGGAGAGAAAGAAAAGAGAAAGAAUGAGGGAACGGCGGGAUUUCAAGCCUCCCCGCCCUUCUGCGACAACCUUUUCAGCGAAAGGGAAGGCUUAGGAAGAAAAGAUGUCCGCGCGUAGAGCAAACCGCAGUUCUUUCCUUUCUUUUUGAAGGAUUUGUACCAUGAGUUAAUUACACCAAAAGAUACGAGGGACUUUAUUAGAAAGGAGAUGCCGUUAGGAAAGAAAGGCCAGGACGGCCGAUCUAAAGGGAAUGGAGAAGGGAAGACUCAGACGCCCUCCCGAAAUUGGUGGUCUAGCCUGUGUUUUGUGCUAAAUGUUAUUUAACUUAAUGGCGUGGGAGUGAGAUGUUGAAUGCAGAGAUCUGGAAAUACCAGAUUUAGUGGUCCUGUUCCUCCUCCCCGACUCUUUUCACACCCAUUUAAUAAAAAGUUACAGUUUUUACACCCGUAUUGAUAAAUUUGGCGAUGUUGGCCAAGUAUUAUCUCGCCCCGCAGAUUUUGAAUUUUGUUGCACAAACCGAUGAAAUGAUUGCUUUGCUAUAAUUGUAAAACUUUUUUGGAACGAACCUGGAUUUUUUUUAUGCCUCUUCAUCUACUUUUUGCUUCAUUAGAGCCCUCUGGUUUUCCAAGAUCGACUGUCACACUUUGUUAUUUGUUGCUUCUCUAAAUCCUUUGAGAUGCUGCUCGCAGCUACGUAAAAAACGUUGGCCACUCAGGUAUUUGAUGGGCUUAGAAAGUCACCAAGAUGUGACACCAUUUAAAAGUUUUAGCUUGGUUUCUCAGUGAAAUAAGGGCAUCUCUGUUAAUUAGAAAACUUUGUGUUAGUCUGAGAUGCCUAAGAGCAUAGUCCAAAUUGAAAAUUCCAAUAUUUUGCCACAUCUGAAAUAUAAUUAUUUACACAGCCUUCUCUUUCAAAGGGAGGACAAACAGGUUGCCUUGAGAAGAGCUAUUCUAUUUGCAAUUGCUGGGGCAGGUGACAAACACGUGUGUAUCUGUGGGCAGCCUUGUUGGGCUGCCUUCCCUGACUACAAGGCUUUUGUGAGCUGGUAACGCCUUAAAAUGUGUGAGAAUGCUGCGCCCUAGGAGUGGAGGCCAAGGGCAAGAUCCUUGUACAUUUCAAUACCUUUUCCAACAUCAGGCUGGCAGCAGGCAGGCCAACCUAGGGUCACUGUGUGACACAUAUUUGCAAGCCAGUAAAGCAAAACAAAGCUGAAAGCAAGUGCAAAUUUAGGCCCACCAACCUUGAAGUCAUCCCUGAAAGGGAGCUGCUUUACUAGUUAAUUUUUCUUGCCCAGUCAGCCACACAAAAUGCAUUGUAUUUCUUGGCUUGCCCCAGUAAUUGCGACUUACUUGUUACAGCAGAAGCUUCAAGAAUUUACACUCAUUGGAAUAAUAAAAUAGAAGUAAGCAACCGUGCAUUAAAAAGCUAUGAAAAGAUGAAGAGAAUAUGCCUUCAAAUGGGAAGGAAUACUUAACUGUGAAUAAGACCUAGUUCAACAUGGAACUUCCUGGUGGCCAAGUCAGAAGAGAAGCACAGAACAAAAACGGAGGCACAGAGAGGUCAAUUGAUUGGUCUAAUGACACAGAUCUAGCAAGUGGUGGAACCAGGACUGAAUCCAGAGAAUCUGGAAGACUACUCUGCCAAGACAUCUCAAAAAGUGUGUGUCCGGAAUUGGUGGGUUCUUG